AAAAUGGCUUUUAUAAAAGCUACACAAUAGGAUAAACUGAAAAUAGU
rfam:Ailuropoda melanoleuca scaffold167_183, whole genome shotgun sequence.